rnacentral:rRNA from 1 species
UACGUAGGGUGCGAGCGUUGUCCGGAAUUAUUGGGCGUAAAGGGCUCGUAGGCGGUUUGUCGCGUCUGCUGUGAAAACCCGAGGCUCAACCUCGGGCCUGCAGUGGGUACGGGCAGACUAGAGUGCGGUAGGGGGAGAUUGGAAUUCCUGGUGUAGCGGUGGAAUGCGCAGAUAUCAGGAGGAACACCAAUGGCGAAGGCAGAUCUCUGGGCCGUAACUGACGCUGAGACGCGAAAGCGUGGGGAGCGAACAGG